rnacentral:rRNA from 1 species
GAUGAACGCUGGCGGCGUGCCUAAUACAUGCAAGUCGAGCGAACGGACGAGAAGCUUGCUUCUCUGAUGUUAGCGGCGGACGGGUGAGUAACACGUGGAUAACCUACCUAUAAGACUGGGAUAACUUCGGGAAACCGGAGCUAAUACCGGAUAAUAUUUUGAACCGCAUGGUUCAAAAGUGAAAGACGGUCUUGCUGUCACUUAUAGAUGGAUCCGCGCUGCAUUAGCUAGUUGGUAAGGUAACGGCUUACCAAGGCAACGAUGCAUAGCCGACCUGAGAGGGUGAUCGGCCACACUGGAACUGAGACACGGUCCAGACUCCUACGGGAGGCAGCAGUAGGGAAUCUUCCGCAAUGGGCGAAAGCCUGACGGAGCAACGCCGCGUGAGUGAUGAAGGUCUUCGGAUCGUAAAACUCUGUUAUUAGGGAAGAACAUAUGUGUAAGUAACUGUGCACAUCUUGACGGUACCUAAUCAGAAAGCCACGGCUAACUACGUGCCAGCAGCCGCGGUAAUACGUAGGUGGCAAGCGUUAUCCGGAAUUAUUGGGCGUAAAGCGCGCGUAGGCGGUUUUUUAAGUCUGAUGUGAAAGCCCACGGCUCAACCGUGGAGGGUCAUUGGAAACUGGAAAACUUGAGUGCAGAAGAGGAAAGUGGAAUUCCAUGUGUAGCGGUGAAAUGCGCAGAGAUAUGGAGGAACACCAGUGGCGAAGGCGACUUUCUGGUCUGUAACUGGCGCUGAUGUGCGAAAGCGUGGGGAUCAAACAGGAUUAGAUACCCUGGUAGUCCACGCCGUAAACGAUGAGUGCUAAGUGUUAGGGGGUUUCCGCCCCUUAGUGCUGCAGCUAACGCAUUAAGCACUCCGCCUGGGGAGUACGACCGCAAGGUUGAAACUCAAAGGAAUUGACGGGGACCCGCACAAGCGGUGGAGCAUGUGGUUUAAUUCGAAGCAACGCGAAGAACCUUACCAAAUCUUGACAUCCUUUGACAACUCUAGAGAUAGAGCUUUCCCCUUCGGGGGACAAAGUGACAGGUGGUGCAUGGUUGUCGUCAGCUCGUGUCGUGAGAUGUUGGGUUAAGUCCCGCAACGAGCGCAACCCUUAAGCUUAGUUGCCAUCAUUAAGUUGGGCACUCUAAGUUGACUGCCGGUGACAAACCGGAGGAAGGUGGGGAUGACGUCAAAUCAUCAUGCCCCUUAUGAUUUGGGCUACACACGUGCUACAAUGGACAAUACAAAGGGCAGCGAAACCGCGAGGUCAAGCAAAUCCCAUAAAGUUGUUCUCAGUUCGGAUUGUAGUCUGCAACUCGACUACAUGAAGCUGGAAUCGCUAGUAAUCGUAGAUCAGCAUGCUACGGUGAAUACGUUCCCGGGUCU